UACCUGGACCAACACUGACACUGAGGCACGAAAGCGUGGGGAGCAAACAGGAUUAGAUACCCUGGUAGUCCACCGCCCUAAACGAUGCGAACUGGAUGUUGGGUGCAAUUUGGCACGCAGUAUCGAAGCUAACGCGUUAAAUUCGCCGCCUGGGGAGUACGGUUGCAAGACUGAAACUCAAAGGAAUUGACGGGGGCCCGCACCAGCGGUGGAGUAUGUGGUUUAAUUUGAUGCAACGCGAAGAACCUUACCUGGUUUUGACAUGUCGAGAACUUUCCAAAGAUGGAUUGGUGCCUUUGGGAAAUCGAACACAGGUGGUGCAUGGCCGUUGUCAGCUCGUGUUGUGAGAUGUUGGGUUAAGUCCCGCAACGAGCGCAACCCUUGUCCUUAGUUGCCAGCACGUAAUGGUGGGAACUUUAAGGAGACCGCCGGUGACAAACCGGAGGAAGGUGGGGAUGAAGUCAAGUCAUCAUGGCCCUUACGACCAGGGGUACACACGUAGUACAAUGGUAGGGACAGAGGGGUGCAAACCCGCGAGGGCAAGCCAAUUCCAGAAACCCUAUUUCAGUCCGGAUUGGAGUUUGCAACUUGACUCCAUGAAGUUGGAAUCGCUUGUAAUCGCAGAUCAGCAUUGCGCGGUGAAUACGUUCCCGGGCCUUGUACACACCGCCCGUCACACCAUGGGAGUUUGUUGCACCAGAAGUCAGGU
rnacentral:rRNA from 1 species